GACGGAGUAGCGACGAUUUCCGAAUCCAUUCUCCAUUUGGUUUGCAAUGGCGAAGAAGAAAUGUAUGUUUGAUUUACAACUUUUAUCCAUCAAUCCUGCCGUAAUUUGAAGGUAAUAUGCUAUAUUUAAUGUUAAUACUUGUAGUAGAGCACUUACUUGGCUAAUAUAGAUUAAUAUUUGUGAGAUCGAGCACGAUUUUAGUGCGAUAUUUCGGCAUAAAAUUUGUCAACUUUUUCACAUGGUUCGUUAGGUUCGAUUGUCGAAAUAAAACCGUGAUUUUAUAGUGGGAAUUUACUGAAAAUACUUUCGACUAACCGAAUUAAAAAAGUUAAAUAAAAAAUUGUUAAAUUGUUAUAAAAAAAAUAAAACUUUUCAGCUCGUGCGAGGAUCUAGUUGACUUCUGCGGCCAACCCUGUACGUCGCGCUCUUGCGGUCACUCGAGUCUUGAGCAAUUUUUUUUAUUAAAUCUACGUUUUCUGAAAUUAAUUACCGAAUAAAGAAAGAUGUGGAGUCGCAAUAGAUCCACACUCCCCUACAGAGGAAAUCUAAGUUUUUUUAGACAAGUUCAGUUAUUCGCAACCUCAAAUGGCUCAAAAGGUCAAAUAAAGGCCCGCUCGAUAACAUUAAUUAAAUUAUAUUCUUUAUAGAUUAAAUAAAUUAUAUUUUUUGUAGAUUUACAUUGCAAGUUCCCAGGAUGUUCCAAGUGAAGAUUUGUCGACUAUGAACUCUUUCCAAAGUCGCAAAUGAAAGGUAUUGACUUUUUCCUUUUUAUUUGUAUUAACCUGUAUAUCUUUAGCAUUUUUCUGUUUAAUCUAAUUUAUUUCAUUUCCUCAAUAAUCAAUUUUUAACAUUUUCUAGAUACUGUAUGUGUUGCAAGUUCCAAGAAUGUCCCAAGCUGUUGGCUGAAGUUUUCUACUUCACAAAGAAUGGACACUGUCAUUGGAAAGUAUAUCAAAAGGUCUAUUUUCAUGCCUUAUUUUACGUAUGAAAUGCUUUGAAAAUUAUAAUUGUUUGUGAUAAGUGUUUAUUAAGUCAGAAAACAACAACAAAAAUAUAAUUUAAAAAAAUCAUGCUCCCAGUUUCCACCAAUCACAGGAAGUUGUCAAUUUUCAAAGCAUUUAUUUUGAGAUCAAGCCAAAAGAAUGAUAAACUGUUUCAUGUUUGUGUCUUGAAACGUUAAUAUGUUCCAUCUUAUGUGAAUCAUUUUGGACAUACUGUACAUUUUUCAUGUUUGGCAUACUAGCUACUUCUUAAAAUCUUCUAAAUCAAUUUUGUUCACAUGUG
rnacentral:lncRNA from 1 species